rnacentral:rRNA from 1 species
AUGUUGCUCUCAUUGUUUACUUUGUCUCUUCCAACAGAAUCAACAAGCCUGGAUGACGCUCGCAAUAUGGAGUCUCUCCUCCUUGAUCUAUCAACACUAAAAGUUGCUACAGAUGAUUUUGCUGAACAUAAAAUGCUUGGCGAGGGAGGUUUCGGUGUAGUUUACAAGGGAGACCUACCUGAAGGCCAAGAAAUAGCGGUAAAGAGGCUCUCACAGACUUCCCGACAAGGAAUAGAAGAGCUGAAAACCGAGCUGCUUUUGGUUGCCAAGCUGCACCACAAGAAUCUUGUCAGGCUAAUUGGUGUUUGCUUGGAGGAACAUGAGAAAAUACUUGUGUAUGAGUACAUGCCAAAUAGAAGUCUUGAUACAAUUUUGUUUGAUGCUGAGGAAUCCAAGAAGCUAGAUUGGGGGAAGAGAUCCAGGAUUAUAAAUGGAAUAAUUCGGGGCUUACAAUAUCUUCACGAAGAUUCACAACUGAAGAUAGUUCACCGGGACCUCAAAGCAAGCAAUAUCCUUUUAGACUCUGAUUAUAAUCCUAAGAUCUCUGACUUCGGCUUAGCAAAGAUAUUUGGAGGGGAUCGAUCACAAACUGUUACACAUCGCAUUCUGGAGCAUAGUACUGGGUACAUGUCGCCCGAAUAUGCAAUGCGUGGUCAGUAUUCCAUCAAGUCAGAUGUAUUCAGCCUAGGUGUUCUAAUUUUGGAGAUCAUCACCGGAAGAAGAAGCCAUGGACCCUACGACUCGGAGCAUGAUACUGAUCUCAUAAACAUUGCAUGGGAACACUGGACCAAGGAAAGAGCGGCGGAGUUGAUAGAUCCAACCUUGAGGAAUCAUUGUCCCACUGACCAGUUGCUGAAAUACAUUCACAUAGGCCUAUUGUGUGUCCAGUAAAAACCCGCAGACAGGCCGUUGAUGUCAGCGGUGAAUGUCAUGGUUAGCAGUAGCACUGUGAGUCUUCCUUCUCUGUCCAGGCCAGGUUUCGGCGCCCAGGAGAUUGGGGCUAGCUCCAUAUCGGAAGAAAAUCCUGCGAAAGCGUCGUCAAAUAAGAUGUCCAUCACAGAACUUGAGCCCAGAUGA